ACUUUCUGAGCAUAUCCUGGCUGGUCCCUGCAGGGAAAUUAAGCCUUCUUAAGGGGUUGGAGCCAUCAAAAAGCAGCUGCAGGACAGAAAAGUGAGGGUGUGAGCUGUCAGUGUUUCUCUCCUGUUUUCAGAAGCACUGACAGGAUUUUGACGAGACAAACGGGUGGUUAGAGUGUCUGCAGCGAUGGGGCUAGAAAGCAGCCUGUGUGUCUGCAACAUGAGAGGGAAGUUUUAUGGCUGGAGGACUGUGUGUUUAUGUGACCCUGGGGGUAGUUCUUCAUCAUUAAUCAAACAUUUGAACAAGGGUAAUUAAGGAAAAUGAGCUCCUCUGAAAUGAAGCAGUUUCACUUCA
rnacentral:lncRNA from 1 species